CCCAGGCCCCAGCAGUUCUACAGCACCUAGUAUCCCCACUUCCUGCCCACAGAGCCCUUGGGGGCUGGAACGUGGGUCCUCAGUACAUGCCACAUGGCACACCGAUAAUGCUGGUCAGAAUAGGUUGGAUCUAUGCUUUCCUCACUCGUUUAGUGCCCCCAGCAGUGCCACAGACAGGGACUGUUGUGAUUUUGCAGAUGAAGAAACUGAGGCACAGAGAGGGGAUACUCACUUGUUGAGGGUCCCACAGCCAGGACUUUCAGGGGUGGGCUUGGAUCCCAG
rnacentral:lncRNA from 10 species